GAGUGGGCAAGCUGUGGGGCAGAGGGAGCGAGAGGGAAGGGCAGGAGCCUGAGUUGUUUUGUCGCGUGACAGUUCUGUGUUCACAAAUGCAGCAGAGUGAGCUAAUAGCACUUUUUGACUCGUGACACGUCCUUCGUGGCUCAGACGAGUCUUUCCCCAGGUGCUCCAUUCCCAGUGCUUGUUGGGUUGUUUUGGGAACACAUUUUUUGAGCCUAGACACAUUCCCCUUGCCGACGGGUGUUCCGAUGAGAUUUUGAAGCCCGGGAAGUCUAAGAAGUAUGAUAAAUUCCCCACCAUCCCCCACACCUGCAUUUGUCCGAAUUAACAAUCAGGACUUGACUGAAAUUGAGCUACAUUCCGUGGAGUCCAUCAAUGACCUGCACCGCACAAACCCAGAGCAUUUUAAUAAAGGCAGCAUGCAAGCACAACCUGAGGGCCCCCCCAACAAUGGGGUUCUCCAUGACAUACCAACUGUGUGCCAGACCAGCUAUUCCAUGAGGCCUUGGUGGUACAGUGCGCCUUUUGGUUUCUGUACAACCACAGUGUGUCGAUACUCCUGCGGCUGUCUGGCAGUUACCCUGGUGCUGGUGAUUCUCGGCCUCAUCUUCUCCUUCUUAGUCCAGCAGAGCGGUGCUCUGCGUGCACUUUCUCAGGGGAUGAGGGACAGACAGGAGACCACUCUAGAGAUUUCUCGGCUGCUCCAGGAGCUGCAGGAGCUGCGCAGAAACCUGACGGCGAGCAGGGGAUGGCAGGCACGCUGAGGGACAUCAUGGAGCUCCAAGAGCGAUGCCUGUCACAAAGUCACCGACAGAAUCACGAGUGCCAAAAUCAAAGCUCCUGCAAAUGCUUAUUUUGAAUUAAUUGAUGGCCAAUUCACCUUACACAUUACAUUUCAGAACAGCUGGAUCUGUACACAAAUGCAAUUGCUGCAAGGUAUUGCAGCAAAGAUUAUCCAUGUGAUACAACUGUGUGAUGCAACAUUUGAGGUAAUAUGACACAGAUGCUAUGAGUUUCACUAUCAUUCAACUCACUGUCAUAGUAGGACCAUAUUGAAGUUGGAUAUAACAUUUGCAGUUUUUCUUCUGCAUAAAUAAAAAUGCACAAUUAAAAGAAUGGAGUUUUAUC
rnacentral:lncRNA from 1 species